CCUUGAUAAGUGAAUGCCACAAGGAAGCUGUGAAUCUUGAUAUCACACAGCCAUGUCACCUGGGCACAUUGGAAGAAGAAUCACUGGGGCCUUUAGCCAUGGAAGGGAUUGUGUGAAAGCAGCGAUUGAAGCCACUCCAGGAGCUUCAGGAAUGGGAGCCCAGGACAGAGCAGAGGAUGGAGAGGAUAAAGGAGGGCAUCAAUUCUGGUAGCUUCAGCAAGAGAACUGUCAUCCCCACUGAUAAUGUGAGCGUUACCCCAUGACUCGACCAAGAGGUCACAGUGAUGGUGGUUCCAUGGGUAUUUCUGGGUGGGUGCUAAGAGCAGACACCGUCUUUGACACUUUAUGUGGUAACUCACCACUGUGCCCUUCCAGGACAACAUCUAAUUCAGGUUAAAAAAAAAAGGAGCAUUUAGUUUACCUUUUUUACCAUUUGCAUUUUUCACAAUAGCUAAGCCUAUUUCUGUGAUGGUAAAUUAACAGAUGCUACUUGAAAAAAAAUCAAAAAUUUGCACUUGCCACAUCACAAGUAUGGCAAAUUAUUUACUAAAAUGGCCAAAUAAUAUAGAGGCAAUUUUAAAACACCUUUUUUUUUCUGGUCAAUGUUAGAAAUCCUAUAUAUUCUGGAGUUUCUAAAAAUAAAACUCGAAUGAGAGUGAUUGUGACAUGAAUUUUUUUUAGUUAAUUCUUUUUAAUGGAAAAGCAUUUUAAAGCAAGAUAUCUUUGUUCAUUCUGGAAAAAGAGAAUUCCUCGCCUCUCUCUGUGCAUUUUUAGUUUCCCCUUUUAACUCUGAGAAAUGUCCACUGGGGGCCAGUGUUGCAGCUGCAAUAUGGACCAGGUCCUCCCUCAAGUCCACAGGCCUUUGUCCAGUCAGACCGGCUUUUCCUGAGACACUCUCUGGGCCAUAUGCUCAGGCACGUUUAUGGGCAUUUCAAAACUUCAAUUUCAGAGCCUUACAACUUUACUCUUCAAGUAUGGACAGGGUAGAUGAUAUGGAUCUCUUGUCUCAUGUACAGUGCUUCUGUUGUCUCAAAAUCAGUGACCAAGUCUUGGAGCAGAGGUCAAAGCCACAUCAAGAACCUCACAUUCUUAAGAGAACUGCCAACAGCUGGAGGUCAUGUGCCCCUCCUGGAUGAUUUAAUGGGCUGGACUAACCAGCUCUCUGCUCCCACCAUCCCCAGGCCCCUCUCAAUCUCUCGACCCCAAACAAACAGAAGAUUAGGAAGAGGAGAGGGAGGAGAGAGUGCUUGUCGUGAGUCAUCAGUGGAGAGUAGAGAGCUUCAGUGUUUUCCACGGAGGAAGAAGGAACAGGAGCACUCGCAGAUACAGGGGGUGUCAGAAACAAGAGGAGCCAGGCGUCUUGACCCACAGGAGGAAAUCAGCUUAGGUAGCAGACAUGUUGAUCUUCCCAAUCGCUGAGCUUCUCAGAGCAGCAAAAAGGAAAACUGAGAGGACAGACAGAGCGGCCAGCAGUGCGAACCAGACCUCGCCAUUUGGUGUUUCAAGGAAACCUGAGUGUCUUGUGGCUCAGGUGGACCUCAUAGAGACAGCUGUGCUUGAGCCGUCUUGUUCUACGCCAAACAAGGGCCACCUGCAGGAUGGGGGUGGUGCCCGGCAAUGGGAAACAGCAGGGUGUAUUACUGGCGGUGAAAUCUGGGGGCAGACUCAAGGAGGUUGAGCUGGAGCUGAUCUCCAUGUUGUGGAGUUGGACAGAAACCCAGAGAGGAGCCCUUCCCUGAUCCCGAAGGGCCCAUGAAGAAUGCACACGUGAACCCUAUGAAGGAAGCAGCCUUGGAUGCCCGCUCUCAAUGGAUGUCUGCACUUGGUUUGUCUCAAUUUAAGAAGCAACAGCCAAGACAUGGCCCUUGUGUACCAGGAAUGACAGAUUCAUCCCUUUCUAUCUCCACUCCCCCAGUCAGGGAGAAAGGUGCCCCAGGAAAGGCAGACUUUGGCUUCUGCUGGAGAUUGAUGUCUGUGCAUGAAGCUCAUGCCCAAAGAGAAAAGGGGCUGCGACAUGUUGGAGAACUGGUCCCAAUUCUUCACCCUUCUAUGUAUCCACACGCUAGCCAUGGCCUCCUUGUGGAUGGUGUAUACUUCUGCCCUGGCCUGGGACUUGUCCAUGUGAUUUGCUUCAGCCAAUGGCAUAUGAGUGGAAGUGGCAAUAUGCCAAUUCUGAGCCUAGAUCUACGAGACUUUGCCUGUUUUGGCUUGCUCUGUUAUGGAACAUUCCCCAGUUAGUCUGCUGGAAGGGAAAGGGCAACAGAAGUGCGAACCCACAGUGUGGACUAGAGCCAUUCUAGCUGCCGCAGCCUGAAUCAACCAGCCCACACACGACCAAGCCCAGCUGAGAUCAGCAGAGCCUGCCCAGGCGUCCUGCAGUUGUAUGAGAUAAAUAAUACGCACUGUUUUAAGCCACUUUGAUUCUCUGGUUCUUUGUUAUGCAGCAAUAGCUAAUCAAGACAAGCAGUUUCUAUCUCCCAGCUCUAGUUUGAAAAGUUCCAGGGAAGAGUGAUCUGACCUCACUUGUUUCAAAGGCCCAAAUCUGUCACCAGCCACUCAGAUAUCUUAAGAACAGGGUAACGGUGCUGGUUGUCACACAAAAGUGAGAACUUUCUACUCAGUAAUACACCUGUAUUUUUGUGUGUGUCGAAUUUAAAAUAUUCCAGUCAUCAAUCAUUUAAAACUAACAUAAAAAUUGAGAUUAGUUAAUACAGUAAAUAAUAAAACUAUGUGUAAUUAAAACUUCAUUAUGGCCAGAGAGCAUAGAAAAAGAAGAAGGAAAAGAAGAAGAUGCAAAACACAAUAUUUGCCCAAAAUCCAAGAAGGAGCAAUAUUUCCUUAGAUAAAAACAAUUAAAAAGUAUAUUUGAUAAUAAACAUAUUUUAAAAUCUAAGUAAGAAAGAAAUAAAAUUUUUGAAAAUAUCAUUUUACCCCAACUGAGAAAAAUAGAAACUGUUUUUCCCAGGGAAGUAAAGAAUAUUGUCUCUCAAUUCACAGGUAAAAAGGCUGCAUUUAAUAUCUUCUCUUUGCCAUCUGGCUACAAGCAUCAGCUCCUAGCAAGGGAUUAGCAUAAUCUGCUCUGGUGCCAAACGCAGAGGCCUAAGGUGGGAGGAAGAUAUAGAAGGAAUCUAGCUAGAAAAGUGAGGGAAAAGAGAAAGAAAUAGUAGGCUGGGAGCAGAGAUCAAAAUUCACAGCCAGAGAGAGUACAAGGGGAGAGUUUCACGUGCAUUCUGGUUCCCAGGGUCUCGGGACAACCACAGGGGUAAUCUUCAGUGAGCAAGGCAGAACACAACAGUGCAGAGAACCCUGGAACAUCAACAGCUGCUUCUGAAGGAAUCCACCCAAAAUCGAAGCACAAAGAAUAAAAACAGAAUCCAUGAGAACAAAGUGUGCAGGAGGAAGGGAGAUGCCACCUCCUGUCUAGGAAAAUGACACGAUAGCGUUUGA
rnacentral:lncRNA from 1 species